rnacentral:misc_RNA from 1 species
ACGUGUUUUGAAUCGCAAGAUUCUUAAUUCCAAAGCUGUGCGCUUUCGGGCUGCACGCGGAGGAAAACACCUUUCCACACCUGUGCACAUAUACGGUGGUGGGCUUAAUUGCCCGCCGCCGCUUAUUACACACUUCAUGUCAGUCUUGUAUGUAACCUUUAUAAAAAUA